rnacentral:rRNA from 1 species
ACUCCUACGGGAGGCAGCAGUGGGAAUAUUGGACAAUGGGGGAACCCGUAGCAUCCAGCAAUGCCGCGUGUGUGAAGAAGGCCUGAGGGUUGUAAAGCACUUUUAGUCGUGAGGAAAUGCUGAUGGUUAAUACCUAUUAGUUUUGACGUUAGCGACAGAAAAAGCACCGGCUAACUCUGUGCCAGCAGCCGCGGUAAUACAGAGGGUGCAAGCGUUAAUCGGAAUUACUGGGCGUAAAGCGUGCGCAGGCGGUCUGUUAAGCGAGAUGUGAAAGCCC